UUCGGGUUAGGGAUUGCAGUGGCAUCCUUUUGCAUUUUGUUCGAGUUAAUUUAUGCAGUAGAACGAAAUAAAUUAGUAUCGAGAACUUGCAAAAGAUAUAACGGAAAGCCCGCCUACGC
rnacentral:sRNA from 1 species